UGCCUUCCCUUUGUGCGAGCCCCCGCUAGCUAAGCAUGCAGCGAAGGAGGGAGGAUGCAAAGGCGGCCCGGGGGGAAUAAGCGCUCCCGCAUGCAGCCAGGUAGGGAACGGCUCCGUCCGAGGGGGCCCGGUGGCACGGAGGCGGCUCUCACCUCCCCCCUCCCCAUGCGCUCACCUUCACGGUUUCUUCCGAGCCCUGAGAUAAAGCUACGGUUUGUCACCGUCCUCGGCAGCUAAAGAUCUCCGCACGCUCGUAGGGGGAACCGUUGUGUGCUUAUCCCGUGUUACCAACGGUAACGCUAUUAAUCGACCAACAACAACAAAAAAUCACUAAUUCCACAUCUUUAAGCAAAACUACGUUACGUAAAUAUCUACAACCAGAAAGAGAGAGAGAAAUUCAGAGCUUGAAAGAGCGAAGCGGGCCCGGGAAAGGCUGCAGGAACCGAGGAGGCUCACACAUGGCCCUCAGCGUUAGCGUGGCUCUCUUCCGCUCCCCCCGCAGCCCCGAAGCAGCUAUUAAGAGUUUAAGGACAUACUGAGAACGUCUAAAAUCGUUAAUCCGUACAGGUGCGGAUGACUACAGCCUAGGAAAAUGAUACUGGCUCUUUAAACCAUCAAGAUGUGUUUAUAGGUUCAUCAAGAGAAAUUAAAGUUGGCUGUGAGCUCCCGAAUCCUA
rnacentral:lncRNA from 1 species